rnacentral:rRNA from 1 species
UAAGGAAUAUUGGUCAAUGGGCGCAAGCCUGAACCAGCCAUGCCGCGUGCAGGAAGACGGCCCUAUGGGUUGUAAACUGCUUUUGUCAGGGAAUAAACCCCCGUACGUGUACGGGGCUGAAGGUACCUGAAGAAUAAGCAUCGGCUAACUCCGUGCCAGCAGCCGCGGUAAUACGGAGGAUGCAAGCGUUAUCCGGAUUCAUUGGGUUUAAAGGGUGCGCAGGCGGAUUGAUAAGUCAGGGGUGAAAUCCCACAGCUCAACUGUGGAACUGCCUUUGAUACUGUUAGUCUUGAGUAUAGUUGAAGUGGGCGGAAUGUGUCAUGUAGCGGUGAAAUGCUUAGAUAUGACACAGAACACCGAUCGCGAAGGCAGCUCGCUAAGCUAUAACUGACGCUCAUGCACGAAAGCGUGGGGAUCAAACAGG